UUUCUACUCCCUCCAUCCGAAAAUACUUGUCAUCAAAAUGGAUAAAAAGAGAUGUAUCUAAAACUAAAAUAUGUCUAGAUACAUUUCCUUUUAUCCAUUUGAUGAGAAGUAUUUCCGGACAGAGGGAGUAUUUG
rfam:Triticum aestivum genome assembly, contig: Triticum_aestivum_CS42_TGACv1_scaffold_423415_5BS